UACGUAGGGGGCGAGCGUUGUCCGGAUUUAUUGGGCGUAAAGAGCUCGUAGGCGGUUUGGUAAGUCGGGUGUGAAAACCCCAGGCUCAACCUGGGGACGCCACCUGAUACUGCUAUGACUUGAGUCUGGUAGGGGACCACGGAAUUCCUGGUGUAGCGGUGAAAUGCGCAGAUAUCAGGAGGAACACCGGUGGCGAAGGCGGUUCUCUGGGCAUUACCUGACGCUGAGGAGCGAAAGUGUGGGGAGCGAACAGG
rnacentral:rRNA from 1 species